rnacentral:lncRNA from 1 species
AAAAUAUUUAAUCGCCUUCAAAUUCGGGUACGAUCGAAAAUAUUUCGGAUAGUUUAUAAGGUUCUACUUCGGGUUCAUUCUCGAUAUGAGAUACGGGGACUGCGGGGCGAGAAAUGUUACUGUUGUCAGUCAUGAUGAUCAAAUAAAUUUAAAUAAAAUAGGUAAUCAAUAUAUCAAAAA